CAUUUUCCAUGCGUGAGGGAUAGCAACGGAAAGCCCACAGCCCGGUUUUUCAUCGGGCGAGGACUUGGAGUGUAUAGCCCGACCCCUU
rnacentral:sRNA from 1 species